UACGUAGGGUCCGAGCGUUGUCCGGAAUUAUUGGGCGUGAAGGGCUCGUAGGCGGUUUGUUACGUCGGGAGUGAAAACUCAGGGCUCAACCCUGAGCGUGCUUUCGAUACGGGCAGACUAGAGGUAUUCAGGGGAGAACGGAAUUCCUGGUGUAGCGGUGGAAUGCGCAGAUAUCAGGAGGAACACCGGUGGCGAAGGCGGUUCUCUGGGAAUUACCUGACGCUGAGGAGCGAAAGCAUGGGGAGCGAACAGG
rnacentral:rRNA from 1 species